rnacentral:rRNA from 1 species
GUUGUAUUUAGAAGACAUCUGAAGAAUACCAAAGGUUUACCGCUAUAGGAUGGGGAUGCGUCUGAUUAGGUAGUAGGCGGGGUAACGGCCCACCUAGCCGACGAUCAGUAGGGGUUCUGAGAGGAAGGUCCCCCACAUUGGAACUGAGACACGGUCCAAACUCCUACGGGAGGCAGCAGUGAGGAAUAUUGGUCAAUGGACGGAAGUCUGAACCAGCCAAGUAGCGUGCAGGAUGACGGCCCUAUGGGUUGUAAACUGCUUUUAUAUAGGGAUAAAGUCGGGGACGUGUCCCCGUUUGUAGGUACUAUAUGAAUAAGGACCGGCUAAUUCCGUGCCAGCAGCCGCGGUAAUACGGAAGGUCCAGGCGUUAUCCGGAUUUAUUGGGUUUAAAGGGAGCGCAGGCUGAUGAUUAAGCGUGACGUGAAAUGUAGCCGCUCAACGGCUGAACUGCGUCGCGAACUGGUUAUCUUGAGUGAGUUCGAUGUUGGCGGGAUUCGUGGUGUAGCGGGUGAAAUGCUUAGAUAUCACGAAGAACUCCGAUUGCGAAGGCAGCCAACAA